ACCGUUGCUGUCUCUGCAAAACUCCUCCAUCAAGGAUCUCCUCUAUCACAACCCCUGCAUCUCCUGGUGGUCCGCACCCCCCUGUGGGCCACGUGUGCAGGCAUGGACCGAGGCUGAGCGGAUGCUGCUGCCUGACAGGGAGCCUGUGAGACGGCGGUCCGCUCCUCCCCGCCCUUGUCCCCUUCAUGCCGUGCUGUGGGCUGGGCCAUCGCCGGAAAGCACAGCUUCCAUAUGUUUUGGACAGUGAGCUGAGGCUGUUUUUGAAUGCAGAGGGCUUACACUGCAGGCACAUGCUCUCUUGACAGUUCCACUUUAUUGAGUCUGCUGGUUCGUGUCAUGUGUCCUCUGUGUUUUGGUGUCUGGAAUGAAAAGCAGUGUGUUUUGAGGACACUCUCAGCCAACUGUGGCUGUUGGGUGUAAAGAGAUGCAGUGAGGGCAGAAUGUUGCUGUGCUCUCUUUCUAACAGGUAGGACUUGAGACAUUCAGUUCAAACUAUACUGCCCUUUGCAUCUCAGCUGACAUGUGUCUGCUACACAGAUGAGUAGCUGAGCUGUGCAAAAGAUUCACAUGUUCUUCCCCUCAUCCCAACAACCCUUCAGUACUGCAGAUAACACUGAUCCUCACUAAUGGAGUUUAACCACUAGAUGGCCAUGUUGCACUUUUACUGUCAUUCCCCACAUCACUGAAUAAACACAGUGUUUCCAUGCAGAGAGGAAACGCUUUAACACUCAAAGAUCAAAAGUUAUGUUUUUUUAUGUAAUGUACUUUUUUUUCUAUAAUAAAACAUGAUGUCAUCACCAAAUUUAAAA